GACGAACGCUGGCGGCGUGCUUAACACAUGCAAGUCGAACGGAAAGGCCCUGCUUUUGUGGGGUGCUCGAGUGGCGAACGGGUGAGUAACACGUGAGUAACCUGCCCUUGACUUUGGGAUAACUUCAGGAAACUGGGGCUAAUACCGGAUAGGAGCUCCUGCUGCAUGGUGGGGGUUGGAAAGUUUCGGCGGUUGGGGAUGGACUCGCGGCUUAUCAGCUUGUUGGUGGGGUAGUGGCUUACCAAGGCUUUGACGGGUAGCCGGCCUGGGAGGGUGACCGGCCACAUUGGGACUGAGAUACGGCCCAGACUCCUACGGGAGGCAGCAGUGGGGAAUAUUGCAGAAUGGGCGGAAGCCUGAUGCAGCAACGCCGCGUGCGGGAUGACGGCCUUCGGGUUGUAAACCGCUUUCGCCUGUGACGAAGCGUGAGUGACGGUAAUGGGUAAAGAAGCACCGGCUAACUACGUG
rnacentral:rRNA from 1 species